rnacentral:lncRNA from 1 species
AACAGCGGCAACAACAACACACACGCACGACUUCGGUGUACUUUAUGUGGGGUUUUAACCCACAUUCCCGAAAAAGUCGAGCAAACGCGGGAGCGCGGCAGGAGCAACACAAAAAUAAACGACUUUGGAGAACGCGUUGCAACGCAUCACUUGUAUUUCUCUCUGUGUGUGUGUGUGUGUGUGUGUGUGUGUUUAUGUUUGUGUGGCGAAUUGAGAGGAGGCCAUUUAAGAAUAGCAUGUGACACGGAAAUCUCUAGCCCAAAACACGAAAAAGAAAACACAAUUGAGGGCAAUUGCAGUUUUCCGCUGAGUUUAUAGACUUUGGGGGAAAUCUCAAAACCCACCUUGAUUUCAUACGUUUUAUUUGUAUUGAUUUUAUUCAUACGGGACGUCCUUGAUGAUUUUUCUUUUGGUACAAAAACCAGAGAUUCUUCUUGGCCGGUUGCCAUAAUAAGACUAUAUACCCCCUAUAGUCUAGGCUAUCACGCAACAUGCGUUAAAAAAACGUUUGCGUUCAACCAUGGCAACGUGGAAGGCUGCGAUAGGAGAAAAAAUUCGAUUGGUCUGGUAAGUUUGAAAUAUAAUUGACCACGGACUCGAGCAACAUACACUCAUAAACAUCAAGCUGGAGAUAACGCUCGGUCGCUGAGGAUAAACUUUUACUUCUAAGAUUCUUUCCUUGGGGUGACCGUCGAUCGGUGAAAGAACAUUGAAAAAAUAAUACUUGUGCUAUCGCCUCUGGACACCAAAUACCUCUCUCAUCAUAAAAGAAAAAGUUAACACAAAAUCUGGUUAGACUUGGUGGAUCGUAAAAGCUAGCUGAGAAAAAAGAAACUAUUUAUUGGCGUCGAUUAUUAUGCAAAUACGAGUACCGCCCUUGAGCGGUGUGUGUGUUCAUUACGUGUAAUUCAAUCAGCUAAUAUCGUAUGUAAACGCCCAGUAAAUAUUGUACAAUGUGCAGUCAGGUAAACUCAUUUCGUCAAGCGCACGGCCGCGGAAAGCUUCACUUGUUUUUUGGCACGCAUUCCAUAUAUUCGUUUUGUUCCUCCUUCUUGAUAUUUUCUUUUACGAUAAAACAAAAAUAUGUAACAACUUUAGUAAAACCAAAUGUGCAUGCGCGUUUAUCGAAAGCGGUUCCGCGUUCUACGUCUAUUACGUGCUGUCGUAAAUGAGUCCGCUUUCUAAUACAGGCUGCUAAAUGUCAAGUAGAGCUAUCAGGCCAAAUUUAACGGAAUGACAACGGAGCGUGAAAGAAAGGCUCUUCUCCACUCAUAUUCCGCAUGCAUAUAUUUAUCCUCUUACCAGAACAUAAAAUGAGAAAGAAGAAACUACAAAUACUGUAGUGUCCCUUUCAUUUUCUGACAUCCCAGUUCCGUAUUACGUAUAGCACUGCUUGCACUCUCUCUCUGUCUAUAUGAUUGCCGCUCGUCCCGGUCCUCUUCGCUUUGUGAUUUUUAUGAUUUUCAAGUCUGACAGUCAAGACAUUGGCCAUAUUUGAACGGUGCUUUCACCUCUUUGGGAGCGACAGCACUUUCGCACUUGUGUGCACACGCGCCAGGAAAAGAGAGAAUCGAUCAGAAAGCUACUCGUAACAGGCGAUAACAAAUUCUUCCUCGACUUCUUGAUCCAGGAUAUAACCUGUUUCUUUUGCUUUCUUAUUAUAUUCUUCAUUGUGUAGUUUUUCUUGUUUAUGCUGUAGGUAUUAUAGCGUACGACAUUAAACACAUGACGACAACUGAAGGGCAUUUUUAAGUUUACAGCGGUAGGGCACAGGUGUUUGCAUGACUCAAUAGAUGGCCAACUGUUAUCGUCGUCGUUGACAUAGUCAGACGAUGUCAGAAAAAAGUGUAAGGGUGACGUGUUGUUUGAUUCACGGUCUUCUACUCAAUUUCGGAUCGCUUUCUAUCAAUGAAAGUCUAUUAUACGCCCGUCCAAACCGAGAAAAAAGCAGAUAACUGAAAUGUGGAAAAAAGUACAAUGCUUUUCAACAAUAGUAAGGAAAACUCUACCCUACCCUACCCUAAAUCUUCCCAGCAGCCAGCAGGAUGUAUCUCCCAUACCAAAUGUAGCUGCAUCAACCAUACCUUAUUGUUAGCAGUUGGAAUGUGCUGGAAUAAAUUUUAUGCAGCUAUUUGAAAGGUGAAUUUGUUAUACCAAAAUCACGAUUUUGGUCAAAUCCGACUUUUGACUAAAAACACCAUGUCAUUCCAACCCCAAAUUUGAUGAGGAUCACGAAAAUUCUACUCGUUUUGUUAUGGGAUCAUUAUUUCCGGAGAUAUUGGCUAUUUCUGGUUACUUCCGGGAAAUUUCCGUGACAAUUCGCAAAAAUACAGGCUGACCCUACGAGCAACGACAGUUUUAGCUACAAAUGUUUAGCGCCUCGUCUUGCAACUAGAAGUUGAUUUUCUAGGUUUUAAAAUUUGAAAUUUGAA